GUAGGUGAACCUGCGGAAGGAUCAUUAAAAAAUAUAGAAUUAAUCUUCUGUAAACCCAAUCUGCGUAUUUGUAUUUGUUGCUUCCGUGGGACUGUGAACGCAAGUUCCCUCUGGCGCUUUUCUUUGUAAUUGAUGCUGGGGAGUGCUCACGGGAGGUAAUAAUAAACUCUGUUUUUUUUGAACUCAGUCUGAAUAUUGUUUAUACAUAAACUUUAAAACUUUCAACAACGGAUCUCUUGGUUCUC
rnacentral:misc_RNA from 1 species